GAAGCAGCCCUUUAAUCACCGCUCAGAGGGAGAAGGAGGACGUCAUGGCUGCGCUCUUUGUUUUUUUCUUAUUUUGUGCCUUAUUUUCCUUCCCUUCGUGGUUUUUCGACAUGGGGAAGAUGAAGGAGGCACUGUUCACCUGUCCAAGCGCCUCACCUGUGUCCCUUGCUUUGUGUGUCGCAGGAUGACGCGCGGGAUGUUAGGCGUCGCGGUGAAGACAGUGCAUGGAGACAGCCAGCUAUACGAGCAAAUUCCUGCGUUCCUGAAGAGAUCCUGUGCCAUGCUGCUGUUUUUUGUUUUUGUUUCGGGUGUUGUGUGUGCAGGACAGUGUUCCACUUCACUUCACUUCACUUCACAGCAGCAGCAGCAAGGUUGACAAGAUAUAUAAAGUCAGUUAAAAAUACGAGGAUCAUAUCAGCCAGCCAGCAAGCAAGCAACCACCAAGAGGAUUACAAUAGCCAAGUCUAGGACAACUGGCCACCAUAUAGACUGGGAGGAAACUGCAAAUCCACAUAUGUACACCAGGCAGCUCAUUCUAUGUACCUAAGCCAGCACAUAAUUGAUUCUCAAACCAAUGAGAAAUUCUAUUUAAAAUUCAGCAUUUAAAAAAAAAGUAAAACUGUACAAAGAAACAAAAGAGAAGCUUAGAUUGUAGAACAUGAAAGAAUGCUUAAAGAUUAUAUUAAAUUACUGAAGGAGGAAUCAAUUGUGAGCCACAGGUGUGAUGGAAGGUGUAGUGUGUAGAAGUGCAGCAUUUGGACGGUGUCAGUUGAAGUGGAGGUAUUGGCAAGGUGGCACUGCCUCGCUUAGGAUGGGGAGAGAUUUUCCUACAAAAAACACAUCUGGAUUUUUACCUCUGAUCAUGUGGAAAGAAAGUUAGACACCAAUUUAUUUAGGGAGAAAAACUUCAACCCUGCUCCAUGUUCUUACCAUUUAAAAAAUCAUUAACUUUAUUAACAACACAUGACCAUUGAGCUAAAAAUCCAGGUGUGUUUUCUGUAUGAAAGUUUCUCCCCAUCUUAAAUGUGGCAUAUGAGCAGGGCAGUGCCACCUUACCAAUACCUCACCGUCCAGGUGCUUCAUACCUAUGGCUCACCAUCAGUUCCUUCUUUGAAGUUAAUCUAAGUUUCUCUCUCUUAUUUCUGCUUAAUUUAUUUUUAGAAUAAAUUUCAUAGGUUUGUGAACCAAUUCAUUUGCUGGUGGGGGUGGAAGGAUGUCUUGAUUGAGUACAUACUGUGUUUGCAGUUUCCUCCCAGUCUGCCUAGCCAGCCACUCAUGCCACCCUCGUGUUAGUCCCUGGUAAGAGAGGAAGUGUGAAAGCAGGCAUUGUUUGCCUGCAGGGUGGAUGUGGAGGAGUGGGAGCUUCUUUGAAGGUUCACUUACCACAAUGUGGAUAUGAAAUAAAGCUAAAAUAAUGUUGUUGUAACAUUAUUGUGGAUAUGAAAUAGUAGAAGCUAAUAAUGUAUUAGUAACAUCCAUUAAUGUAGUCAAGGUAAAUUAAUUAAUUAUGUAGCCAUUACUCUACAUUAUGUUCAUAGUCCCCAAAUAUAUGUAAUGUUCAUAGUCCCCAAAUAUAUGUAACAUGAUCAUGACACAGCCUUGGGGAGUGUGGCCAUGACACAGCAACCAGUGGGCAGUGUCUCAUGCCUGUAGGGGCAGGGGGUGGGUGGGUGGGUAGAGCAAGGCAGUUCUGGCCCAAAAUAAAAAAUUAUUAAAGUUUAAAGAGCAAGUUGCACAUAUUUUGGGCCACUUUGUCUAAUUUUGGGGCAAGAACUGCCUUGUUUUACUAUCCCCACCCCCCUUUGCCACUACAGGCAUGUGACACUGCCCACUAGUUAGUGUCAUCAUAGCUGGACAUUCCCCAAGGCUGUCAAUUUCAUGACCAUGUUACAUGUAUACUACACCAUAAAAAUCACAUUUAUAAUCUAGAAAAUCUGUUUGAAAUACAACAGAAUAGCACUGAACAGAAUAUGAAAUACAACAGAAUAACAC